AUAAUGACGGUACUUGAGGAGGAAGCCCCGGCUAACUACGUGCCAGCAGCCGCGGUAAUACGUAGGGGGCUAGCGUUAUCCGGAUUUACUGGGCGUAAAGGGUGCGUAGGCGGUUUUUCAAGUCAGGCGUGAAAGGCUACGGCUCAACCGUAGUAAGCUCUUGAAACUGGGAGACUUGAGUGCAGGAGAGGAGAGUGGAAUUCCUAGUGUAGCGGUGAAAUGCGUAGAUAUUAGGAGGAACA
rnacentral:rRNA from 1 species